UAUAAAAUACGUGCUUAUCGAAUAGGCUACAUCAUUGAAAACGGUUAACGUCACAAGUUAUUUUACAUGUCUUUCGCGAAUCCGAUAUGUAUGCUGUACCAGUGUACUGUAAAUUUUUGAUAAAUUUAUACUCCGUGUUAUGUGAACAUGCCUACAUCGUAGUACAAACGUACUAUAUAUUAUACCGCAUUUUACCAUCGUGAGCUUUUUUACACCGUGCCAUCUAUUUAGAUGUAACGAUAGGACAUCCAAAAUCAAACAUUGCAAGAAGCAAAAAGUUCACAAAAAUGAUGAUGCAAAAGUGUAGAAUUCCCGUGAAGGAGUAAAAUCGUCUCAUCGAGAUUUCAUUAACGUUUUCUAGACCAAUUCGUUGGGAAAUUCGAAAUAUGAUCCAUCAUUGUCAUCGUAAUUCAAACUGGAAGCUAUAAGUAUAAGUAAUUUAAUAAUACCCACAAAGAAAAAAAGCCAAACAAUUCAUUAAAUAGGCAUCGCAAAUAUUACCUAAAAACAAAUUCAAGUUCUUCCUGAAUGAUUCAACAAUCCAUAUCGUUGAAUUUACGAAGUGAAGUGAGGAUUUGUUUUGAAAAUGGGUGAAAAAAUUGUGAAAUAUCAACUUGACAGCAGCUGAAAGUUUAAAGAUGUGUCUGAAAGACGAAGAUGCACUAGUGCUUCAAGAGAAGAAAAAGGAGAAGAAGACGAAGAUGAAGGAGAAUAAUAGAAUAAUCAUAAAUGUAAAAUGCGUUAUGUUACCUAUAACUAUUUUUUUGCACAUUAGUAAAAUGCUUUUUUAAA